rnacentral:rRNA from 1 species
AUGGCGCCGGCGCCGGCGGCCGAACCCUUAGAGUAUGAUCUGCAGAGAGAGCUCUCGGACAUCAUGAUCCAGGGCUACAUUUGUGGUCUGCGACGAGAGUUUGAGAUGAAGCUAUGUGAGAACCACAACUGUAUCAGCACACUGAGCAAGAGCUGCAGGGAAAACCUUUCCGAGAUCGCCGCGCUACGAGACGAGCUUACCUGUAUCCUGACCGCUGUGGCAGCUUCAGAGUCCAGCGUACUCCCUCCCCACAGCAGUCUCGAGAAAGCAGAGGAGACGAACUCUCUGGAGAUGAAAGAUGACAAUGACAUCCCGGACUUUUCGCUCCUGAAGCACCUGCGGGGCGAAGAGAUCACGGCUUUUCUGAAGUCUGAAUGGCUCAAGUUGAGAAGGCAGCACGAGUACGAGCUGCAUCAGACGACUGAAGAGCUGUUCAGGCUGAAAAGGCAUUUUGCAAAGGAUGGAGCCGUGCUGCCUUUUAGGAAAGAGAGAGAGCUUGAGUUCAUCAAAUCAAAGCUGCUUCAGACUAUCUCCAAAAUGGAUGGAAUUAUCUCGAGGAAAGAGGGCUCUGGUUUUGAUCGCAAUGAGGAUGAUGAGCUAUGCAGAUUGAAGGACAGGAUUGGUUCUCUGCUCGACGAAAAUGAGCAUCUCCGAGGUUUGCUGUCUGACAGAAGAAAGGAAGCUAAGCAGCUCUCUGCACAAGUAGUCGAUGCGCAGACCGAUGUCGCACGCCACUCACUGUCCGAGUCAAAACUCAGUGAUGAGCUUCAAGAUCUGAAGAUUGAGAGCCACUUGAAAGAGCUAUUGGAACUGUCUAUAUUAAGAGAAGUUUUUGGCAGUUAUGAAAAUCAGAUUGAUGAUCACAACCAGGAGGAGUGCUUCCUCAGAGAGUUGCUUCUGGAGAAAGAAGAGCGGUUACUUACCAUGUCUGGGGAUAAACGUAAGCUCAAGUAUGAAAAUGAGCAGCUUGUAUCUAUGGUAGGAUCAAAACUGGUUCAGCAUCAUGAGGAAUUCGACUUGGUUAACGAUGAGCUUACGAUGUUCAGGGAGAAAGUGUGCGAGCAAGAGCUGCUGAUCUUGGAGUUCAAAGGCGAGUCGAGUUCAAUGAAGAGCUGUCUGGAUGAGGCCAUCCAGCAAAUCCAUGUGUGCAAGCAAGAGAUAGUUGGGCUGACUGAAAGCUUAGCUUCCAUGUCUGUUGCUUUGGAGGAAGCAAAAGAGCAAAAUGCUUCACUUGACGCGACUGUCCGGGAAAUGAAGAGAACAUCAGUGCCGUGCACAGAUGGUCAUAUAGGAGAUGAUGCAGGCCCCCUAGAGCAAUUCACCCUUGUUAGCAUGGAGAAACUAUCUAAAGCAUACAGUGAUUUCGAAAGCAGAUUAGCGCAAAGUAUGAAACAAAAUGAUAUAAGGUUGACUAGAAUAAUUCGUCAGUUCAACCCACUGGUGCAGCAAGUUGCUGUACUAAAGAAGAAGGAAUUCUGGUAUAAACAAAUACUCGAGAUUAAAUGCUCGAAUCUCGAAAAAGCAGAAGCUGAGGUUGAUGUACUUGGCGAUGAGGUCGAGACCCUCUUAAAGGUUCUUGGUAAAAUCUAUAUAGCACUUGACCAUUACUCUCCUGUCCUGAAGCACUACCCUGGGGUGACCGAGAUUCUGAAUGUAGCUCAUAAGGUGUUGAAAGGAGAAAGUAUUGAGCAAUACAACACUUUGUUAAAACAUUAA